GGAUGUGAGGGCGAUCUGGCUGCGACAUCUGUCACCCCAUUGAUCGCCAGGGUUGAUUCGGCUGAUCUGGCUGGCUAGGCGGGGGUCCCCCCCCCCCCCCCCCCAGAGGACCGGUCUUCGGUCAAGGGUAUACGAGUAGCUGCGCUCCCCUGCUAGAACCUCCAAACAAGCUCUCAAAUAUUAGUUGCUCUAUUCAAAUGCCACACAACUGAAAAUGAUAAGACUGAGAUAUAAUAAAGGACUUUGGCAUUUUCAUU
rnacentral:snRNA from 1 species